rnacentral:rRNA from 1 species
UAAACUCCUGUCCAGCAGGGGAAAAAGCGACUUAGCCUAAUACGCUAGGGAGUUGAUUGUACCCUGCAGAAGGGAAGCCCCCGGGCUAAACUCUGUGC